rnacentral:rRNA from 1 species
AUUGAACGCUGGCGGCAUGCCUUACACAUGCAAGUCGAACGGUAACAGGUUAAGCUGACGAGUGGCGACCGGGUGAGUAAUGUAUCGGAACGUGCCCAGUCGUGGGGGAUAACUGCUCGAAAGAGCAGCUAAUACCGCAUACGACCUGAGGGUGAAGGCGGGGGAUCGCAAGACCUCGCGCGAUUGGAGCGGCCGAUAUCAGAUUAGGUAGUUGGUGAGGUAAAGGCUCACCAAGCCGACGAUCUGUAGCUGGUCUGAGAGGACGACCAGCCACACUGGGACUGAGACACGGCCCAGACUCCUACGGGAGGCAGCAGUGGGGAAUUUUGGACAAAGGGCGCAAGCCUGAUCCAGCCAUGCCGCGUGCGGGAAGAAGGCCUUCGGGUUGUAAACCGCUUUUGUCAGGGAAGAAAAGGUUCUGGCUAAUACCUGGGACUCAUGACGGUACCUGAAGAAUAAGCACCGGCUAACUACGUG